GAUGAACGCUGGCGGCGUGCCUAAUACAUGCAAGUCGAGCGAACAGACGAGGAGCUUGCUCCUCUGACGUUAGCGGCGGACGGGUGAGUAACACGUGGAUAACCUACCUAUAAGACUGGGAUAACUUCGGGAAACCGGAGCUAAUACCGGAUAAUAUAUUGAACCGCAUGGUUCAAUAGUGAAAGACGGUUUUGCUGUCACUUAUAGAUUGAUCCGCGCCGCAUUAGCUAGUUGGUAAGGUAACGGCUUACCAAGGCAACGAUGCGUAGCCGACCUGAGAGGGUGAUCGGCCACACUGGAACUGAGACACGGUCCAGACUCCUACGGGAGGCAGCAGUAGGGAAUCUUCCGCAAUGGGCGAAAGCCUGACGGAGCAACGCCGCGUGAGGGAUGAAGGUCUUCGGAUCGUAAAACUCUGUUAUUAGGGAAGAACAAAUGUGUAAGUAACUAUGCACGUAUUGACGGUACCUAAUCAGAAAGCCACGGCUAACUACGUG
rnacentral:rRNA from 1 species